rnacentral:rRNA from 1 species
UACGUAGGGUGCAAGCGUUGUCCGGAAUUAUUGGGCGUAAAGAGCUCGUAGGCGGUCUGUCGCGUCUGCUGUGAAAACUCAGGGCUUAACCCUGAGCUUGCAGUGGGUACGGGCAGACUUGAGUGCGGUAGGGGAGAAUGGAAUUCCUGGUGUAGCGGUGGAAUGCGCAGAUAUCAGGAAGAACACCCGUGGCGAAGGCGGUUCUCUGGAACGCAACUGACGCUGAGACGCGAAAGCGUGGGGAGCAAACAGG